UACGUAGGUGGCGAGCGUUGUCCGGAAUUAUUGGGCGUAAAGAGCGUGUAGGUGGUUCGGUAAGUCUGCCGUGAAAACCUGGGGCUCAACCCCAGGCGUGCGGUGGAUACUGCCGGGCUAGAGGGUGGUAGAGGCGAGUGGAAUUCCCGGUGUAGCGGUGAAAUGCGCAGAUAUCGGGAGGAACACCAAUGGCGAAGGCAGCUCGCUGGGACGUUACUGACGCUGAGACGCGAAAGCGUGGGGAGCAAACAGG
rnacentral:rRNA from 1 species